rnacentral:sRNA from 1 species
CACUGGUCUAGAGCUGGCGUCGCUCUCCUGCUCUCCUGAUGAGUCCAAGGCAAGACGAAACUAGUG